rnacentral:lncRNA from 1 species
AGCUCAGAAGGUGGUGCUGGCAAGGUUGGGGUGACAGCUGUGUCCCUACCGAGGGCAUUUCUGGUUGAGAAGGAAGCAGGCUGGGCCUGGCCGGGCACAGGGCUGAGCUGUGGCAGAGGGGAAGGGGCUCUGAUGUGUGUUGGGAGCAGGCCUGAGGGGCGGGCAGCCUUUGCGUGCUGGAACCCGGGAUUCUGCUGUGUCCUUCCAGGUGUGGCUCAGGUCGCGGGAGCUGGGUUUGCAGGAGAGCCACCCCGGCCUAAAACCGUCUACUGGAGAACCUCCUGGGGCACAGGGACUGGCGGCAGCCACCUAGGAUGCCUGCUUGGGGCCCCGUGUGUCUGUGGCAAGCAGGGCGGCCCAUGUGCCUGUCCUCUUUGCCCGGCUCACAUGAAGUGCUUGGCCAGGGACUCCAGGCCGGCUUGCACAUAAGGUUCAUGCUCGUGGACUCUGAAGGAAGGAGAGAUCCCUGAGGUGUUGGUCCUGCCCGAGGCCUUGUUCCCUCCGGCCCAUGCCAGCCUCUGGGUUUCGCUCUGAAACUCACAGCAGCUCCGGCCCCCUGAGCUGAGCAGUCCCAGCAGGACUCAGCUUUGCCCGAGACAGGAUGUGGCUUGGAUUUGUCACUUGUCUGAGGCUCUGCUGAGAACGUCCCUUGCCCUUCACAUUACGGCGAGGCAGGUGCGCGCGCGGCCCCAAGGAAGACGGGAGUGGUGUCGGGUUGUGGGGUGGCAAAGGCGCCUCAUCCAGGCGGGACCUGGGGCAGGGGCUUGCAGAACACCCUGGGGUGAGGGCACGGGUGUGCUCUUGGCGCUGCCGGCCCCAGUGUGCGGCACUCGUUGCCCCCCAGCCCAGCCCCCGACCCCCGUCUCCUCCUCUCCUUUCCAGGAGGGCCUUUCCGACUCACUCUCUGGGCAUGGCAGAGGUCCUGACCGCCCCCUUGGUGGGGCUGGUCCAGGCUUCAGGCUGGUAUGGGAGCCGCCUCUGUCGGGCCUCUGGCCCCCGGUGUCCUCGCAGUCCUGGAGGUUGUGUCCUAGAAGCGAUCCCCUUCCUCCUGGGCCGGCCUGCGGCAGGCAAGCAGCCCAUCUCACCACGGUUUAUUUCCCCACAGACUCCGUGGGAAGGAGGCUUGUUUAAACUACGGAUGCUUUUCAAAGAUGAUUAUCCAUCUUCGCCACCAAAAUGUAAGUAGCUCCCUGUUCAGUGUCCUGGAAGUCGGCCUGUUCCUGCGGGGAUUGGAGUCCUCUCCAAAGAGGCCCGUGGCUGUGGCCGUGGCGCCCUGGUCCGGGCGAUCCAUGGAGCUGGGAGGGAGUGAGAUCACAGAUUUGGAGGUCGGCUUUGAUCCCUGAUCCCCGCCUCAGGCUGCAGAUGCGAGUCUGUUUCCAGCUCCACGGGUGGGCGGUGCACGUAAUAGACUUAGUCUCUCAUCCCAGCUAAUUGGCUGGGAAGCUCCAGAGUCCUUUGCAGGGAGAGGCUGUGAGAUCCAGGCUGGAGCUCCUGGGCUAGGAGUGCCUGGACCCUCAGUGAUUGUUGGCGAUGAAGACAGGAUUUGGUGCCCACAAGACCCCAGCCCUGGAUGGGAUGGACGUGCAGAAGCGCCACCACUCCGAGUCUCACUGGAGGGUUUAUCUUGCCCCACCUCACUGCUCUUCCUGUGGGCUCUCGCAGUCUCUCCCACCCGGGGCUGCGUCUGCAGCCGGGCAGGCAUAGAGCAGGGGAGCAGCAGAGAAGGCGCGAGAAGAAAGGGCUGAGGCCAGGUUCGACUUUGAGCCUACAGCUAAGUUAGUGAUCUCAGUCAGUUCAGCAAAACUCAGGAGAGGGAGGAGAGGGCCGCCACGUCCCUGCCGUCCCAUAGCUGGAAAUCGGCAGGCCCUUUCUGUGGUGAGUUCCACGCAUUAACACGUGCCCAGCACCUAGACAGCGCCUGGCCACGGUGAGGCGAGAGUGCUGUGUAAAAGCUUCCACUGCAAUUGUCACUCAAGACACACAAGUGUUUUCCACAGUGGCAGUGACCAGAGGAGCUUGAGGACUGCUGACAGCACCAGCUGGUCGAGACUUGCUUCAUUUUUGGAUUGUCCUUUGCUGUUUGAUUUUUUUUUUAAACCAUGAGCAGGUAUUACUUAAGAUGACUUAUUUUAAUUAAGAAAAAUAUAAGAAUGAGACACAGUAGCUGCUUUCAUUGAUUCUGUUCAACCGUUGAUUGGAAUUCCAAGCAAAUGCAGCAAGACAAGAAAAAGAAGUCACAACGGAAGAGGUGGGGAGGAAGGCCAGGACAACAGCUCAGUAAAGCUGAGGUGCAAGGCUGGGCACGGUGGCUCACACCUGGAAUCCCAGCACUUUUGGAGGCCGAGGUGGGAGGAUCACCUGAGGUGAAGACCAGCCUGGACAACAUGGUGAAACCCUGUCUCUACUAAAAAAAACAAACAAACAAACAAAAAUUAGCGGGUGUGGUGGUGGGUGCCUUUAAUCCCAGCUGCUCGGGAGGCUGAGGCAGGAGAAGUGCUUGAAUCCAGGAGGCGGGUCCAGUGAGCCGAGAUCGCGCCACUACACUCCAGCCUGGGCAGCAGGGCAAGACCCUGUCUCAAAAAAAAAAAAAGAAAAGAAAAGUAGCACAGGACCUGGUAAAGGAAACAAAGCUAAAUAAUAAA